ACUAUCACUCUUGAACUGCAGUUUUUCUACAACCAGUGGAAAUAUAGAACUUCUUGCUAUUAGUGCGAGUUUGUUGCUAUUUUUUUGUUGUUGUUGUUUUCUUGGAUUCCUUUCCCUCGUUUAUGUUUCAGAUAUGAAUAAAAGCCCAUGCAUGGAAUCUGGUAACAUUCCACAUUGAGUCAUAAACAACAUGUAGCCAAACUUCAGUUUUCCUGGGCUGUUAAUCAGAAGUUUCACUUUCAAAUGACCCCCUGCCUUUGCUGCUCAAAUGGAUAACAGAAAGAGAAGGUGCAGAUACCUCUUUGUGCAGGACCCACCCCCUGCACCUGAGGGCAGGGAUUGUGUUUGUUUUCCUGGGGCAGUGCUUUGAGGUGCCUCCCUCCCAGAAACCCACAGUUCAGAAGGAAAGUGAGAGCAGGUGAGGGCCACCUACUGGAGGAUGAGAGACCAUGUAGCACAGACUCGAGUCCUCCCAGCUGAGGCCAUCCUAGACCAGCCUGUUCCAGCCGACCUGAGAGACCUGAGAGCUGACCACAGACAUAUAAGGACCAGCCAGGUGCCAGGCUCUGUGAGAAAUAAGGACCAAAUACCUGCUCACGAGAAGUGAUAUGCUAAUUGGGAAGGCUGUGUUCUAGAAAAUUUUGCAUGAUGAGAUGCAGGAAAAGGAUUGAGAAUGUUAUUGUGCCCUCUGCCUAAGGAGACUUUCCAAAUAAAAGUCCAAAGACAUCUCUUAAUCAGUAGGUGCAGUUCUGGAGAAGAAUCCUCUCAAUGAACACUUCUAUUUACUAAUGUUCACAAACCAGAUAUACAAUCAUAAUAAU